CGCCCCCUAUACGUCAUCAUUGAGUAAACUUUGACCCGGAACUACACAGUCAGCAGACACUUCCUGGGAGGGAGGGUCUGCUGCUGAUUGGGUGGAAUGUGUCUGCUGGAUGUGAGGUUCCGGGUCAAAGUUUAUUCAAUGAUGACGUAUAGGGGGCG